GAUGAAGAACGUAGCGAAAUGCGAUAAGUAAUGCGAAUUGCAGAAUUUCCGUGAGUCAUCGAAUCUUUGAACGCACAUUGCGCCCACUGGUAUUCCGGUGGGCAUGCCUGUUCGAGCGUCAUUAUCCUCCCUCAAACCUCUGUGUUUGGUGUUGGGCCGCGUUGGCGUCACAGCCAACUGGUCUCAAAGACAAUGACGGCGUCCGUGGGACCCUCUUCGCAACGAGCAUCUUCGGAAGCACGCGUCGAGUCUAAAGGACCUUCCGGGCCGGUCUACCCUUUAUCUUUCUAAGGUUGACCUCAAAUCAGGUAGGACUACCCGCUGAACUUAAGCAUAUCAAUAAGCGGAGGA
rnacentral:misc_RNA from 1 species